rnacentral:rRNA from 1 species
UCUGAAUAUGGGGGGACCAUCCUCCAAGGCUAAAUACUCCUGACUGACCGAUAGUGAACCAGUACCGUGAGGGAAAGGCGAAAAGAACCCCGGCGAGGGGAGUGAAAAAGAACCUGAAACCGUGUACGUACAAGCAGUGGGAGCCUCUUAAUGGGGUGACUGCGUACCUUUUGUAUAAUGGGUCAGCGACUUAUAUUCUGUAGCAAGGUUAACCGAAUAGGGGAGCCGAAGGGAAACCGAGUCUUAACUGGGCGUUAAGUUGCAGGGUAUAGACCCGAAACCCGGUGAUCUAGCCAUGGGCAGGUUGAAGGUUGGGUAACACUAACUGGAGGACCGAACCGACUAAUGUUGAAAAAUUAGCGGAUGACUUGUGGCUGGGGGUGAAAGGCCAAUCAAACCGGGAGAUAGCUGGUUCUCCCCGAAAGCUAUUUAGGUAGCGCCUCGUGAAUUCAUCUCCGGGGGUAGAGCACUGUUUCGGCAAGGGGGUCAUCCCGACUUACCAACCCGAUGCAAACUGCGAAUACCGGAGAAUGUUAUCACGGGAGACACACGGCGGGUGCUAACGUCCGUCGUGAAGAGGGAAACAACCCAGACCGCCAGCUAAGGUCCCAAAGUCAUGGUUAAGUGGGAAACGAUGUGGGAAGGCCCAGACAGCCAGGAUGUUGGCUUAGAAGCAGCCAUCAUUUAAAGAAAGCGUAAUAGCUCACUGGUCGAGUCGGCCUGCGCGGAAGAUGUAACGGGGCUAAACCAUGCACCGAAGCUGCGGCAGCGACACUAUGUGUUGUUGGGUAGGGGAGCG